rnacentral:lncRNA from 1 species
ACACACACACAUAAAUGUUGCACUGCAUCCUAAAACGUACGUCUGCUUGUAGUGUUGUUUUCUUCUUCCUGUUCUUUAUUAUGUGCUGUGCGUUGUGGUCAAUGGGGUUGCGUGUGGCGGGGAUGGCCUGAAGAGAGGUAGGAGGAGCAAACGAGUGGGGCGUCAAAAAGGUACAAUUAUUGUGCUUGGAAUAUAUAGGCUUCUGGUUCUGUCUUCUCCUUGUGGCUUCGCUUUGGCCUUGCUUUGUUUAUUUCUCCGGUGCCACCUCCUUGUCACCGGACGUGUGGUGGUGGACUGUAAAGCUCAUACAAUAUAUAUAUAUAUUACCUUGUGAAGUGGAGCACUGGGUGGUGGGUUGCAUGUGGUGGUGGUGGCCAUGGCACAAGGACCACACACCUAGGGUUUCAUUGAACUUUCUUGGAUGAGAGAGAACCGAGUGCUCCUAAGGAAUCUCUCUUUGUUCUUGUUUCUUGCACUUAACAAGCAGCAAGUACCUAAUGGAGGGGAAACUUCUUAGGUUAUGGUCGAAUCGCAGGAAGCUACACUUGAUUCAAAACUUAUUUUGAUUCAAAAGGCAGUCAUCAAUUUGAACCAUGAAGAUGAUCUGAUUUGGUGUGUCUGGUUCUGAAUCUUGAUGUAUAUCGAUACAUAACCUAUAGUAUGAAUCUUGAGAAGAUAUGACUAAUGACGAAAACCUUGAAGUAGCCUUUGAACUAAGCUACAUCUUUAUGUUACUUCUGCAAGAGAAGACCACCACGAUAAGAUUUCUCCCAUGUUCAAAUCAACCGAAUCAAGAAGAACAUGGGGUUAUUGUUGGAGAAUUCCCUAUUUACGGUUUGAAAAAUAUUUUUCGGAUCAUUCCUGAGCAAGAGACAAGAUGACCUCAUUUCAUCUAUGAAUAAGAAUAGCUUGGAGACAUGCUAAGGUAAUGUUGUGUAUGAAAUGCAUAGCUGAUCAUUAUGAAAUAUUGGAAGCAUUGGAGGGAAAGAUACUAUAAGCUAAAUUGAAGUACAAUUUAGCUUUUGCAACCUCAUAUGGCAUCAUGCACAAGUCAUGCACAGUUGGUUGGAUCAGCAAGCAUGUAGCUGAAUCAACCAAUGGUGACAUGGGCAUCAAUCGAAACAGCCAAGUAAUCUCAGGUUGCAGAUUUAGGAUAGUGGUACUCUUGAAUCUUGGCAUCCAUAGUCUUAGUCAUUUUGUGGCUUGAGUCUUUCCCUUGAUGUUUCUCACUUUCUUGGCUACUCCUUCCGUGACGCAUCUAAUGUAUGAUAGUCCCACUUGAGGUCAUCAGAGUGGGAUUCUGAUUUCUGUGCUUCACGCACAUGUGAUGUUGGAUGUUGCAAAUAUCCUCAAGUCUCUUCCUUGGGAGGAACAUAAUUUACAAUAUUUUUUUUGUGCAAAAAAAUAUUGAUGGAAGAUAGAGUUUAUGAUGAUGGUGAUGGAUUCUACUAGAUAAGAAUUUUAAAUUAUACAAUAAGUAUGGAUUAAACUGGUGAAGGUUAACAUGAUAGAUUGGAUACUAAAUCUGACUUUACAAUCAUUUGAGAUUUAGAAUUUUCUUUAGACUUUUUCACAUGCAUGGAUAUUCUUUUAAUAAAUUCUUUUAUUCAUGUGCUGCUCAAUUAUCUCUCUCUUAUUUGUAAGAGUAGUUUAAUCUAUUUUUCUUUUUUAUUUGGUUGCAAAUAAUAUCUAGAUUUUAUCUUCUUUUUGGACUUAUUUUUAUAUAAUUCUUGAAUAUGAUUACAAUGGUAAGUCUGAGUUAUAAAAAUAGUCUCUUUAAGAUAUUUAAAGAUAAUAUUUUACUAGAUAUUAUGUAUGCCAUUUUUUUAAUUAUUGAAUAUAAUACCAUGUAUAAAAUAUUAAAUUAUACAACAAAUCUGAGUUAAAAUGGUUAUGAUUAAUAUAGGUUAAGUUAGACACUAAUUCAAUCCAGAAGCUUAAAAUUAUUAUGUUGUAGGUCAGAUCAUCAUCCGAUUCGUUCAAUUCUUAGUAAUAUUUUAUUUUAUACUUAUAUCUCUUUUUCUCCUAAAUUUUGACUGAUUUAUCUGAGGUGCAUGAUUUCCAAGGAAUAUGCUCCAUCGAGAACAAUUGGCAAUCGUAUGCAUGCAUGCAUCUUCAAAAUAAUAUGAAGUUGGAUUGGACUCAUUGUAUCAUGAUAGCAACUACCAAAAAGGCAUGCGGAUGACCACAAAAGUAUUAGGAGAUCUCCCACCAAGAACUCGAAACCAAAAGCUUCCGGUGCUUGAUUGUUUGGCAAAAGAAGCCAUUUCUUAUGACUGAAUAAAACUCGCAAGGCACCUUUUCCAAUGCAGACGGAUAGGGAGAUGGAGGUUUCUUGUUCUGUAGGAAGAGCAAUAGGUGUGGGCUCUAAUGGUGAUGGAUCUUAUCAUUUCAUUUAUUCAAAGAAUGCUUAUACACUGACAUGAACUUAAAGUCUUCAUCGCAGAUGAAGAGGAGUUGGUUGGUGUAUGGAGUUAAACUAUCACUUCAUUUCAAGCAAUGACUUGCAGGUGGGGAUGAACUCACUUCAUAGUAAUGCUUAGAUACCGACAUGAACUUUAGUCAGUCUGUUUGGACCAGAAUUUUGGCAGGCAAAAAAGAACAUAUGAACUCAUCUGAAGGCAACUUCCACUUGACAAAAACUUUGGUCAGCAGUAGGCUUCAACCUGAAACUUUUGGCUGGUAAAAGCUCUUGAGAUCCACUUGACUCAAAUUGUGUACACACCUCUAUAA